UACGGAGGGGGCUAGCGUUGUUCGGAAUUACUGGGCGUAAAGCGCACGUAGGUGGACCAGCAAGUUAGGGGUGAAAUCCCGGGGCUCAACCCCGGAACUGCCUUUAAAACUGUUGGUCUGGAGGUCGAGAGAGGUGAGUGGAAUUCCGAGUGUAGAGGUGAAAUUCGUAGAUAUUCGGAGGAACACCAGUGGCGAAGGCGGCUCACUGGCUCGAUACUGACGCUGAGGUGCGAAAGCGUGGGGAGCAAACAGG
rnacentral:rRNA from 1 species